rnacentral:rRNA from 1 species
GACGAACGCUGGCGGCGUGCCUAAUACAUGCAAGUUGAGCGCUGAAGGUUGGUACUUGUACCAACUUGAUGAGCAGCGAACGGGUGAGUAACGCGUGGGGAAUCUGCCUUUGAGCGGGGGACAACAUUUGGAAACGAAUGCUAAUCCCGCAUAAAAACUUUAAACACAAGUUUUAAGUUUGAAAGAUGCAAUUGCAUCACUCAAAGAUGAUCCCGCGUUGUAUUAGCUAGUUGGUGAGGUAAAGGCUCACCAAGGCGAUGAUACAUAGCCGACCUGAGAGGGUGAUCGGCCACAUUGGGACUGAGACACGGCCCAAAAUCCUACGGGAGGCAGCAGUAGGGAAUCUUCGGCAAUGGACGAAAGUCUGACCGAGCAACGCCGCGUGAGUGAAGAAGGUUUUCGGAUCGUAAAACUCUGUUGGUAGAGAAGAACGUUGGUGAGAGUGGAAAGCUCAUCAAGUGACGGUAACUACCCAGAAAGGGACGGCUAACUACGUG